rnacentral:tRNA from 6 species
AACCCUUUAGCUCAGUGGUAAGAGGACUCAUAAUCGCUUGGUCGCUGGUUCAAAUCCAGUAAGGGCCACCA